rnacentral:rRNA from 1 species
UACGUAGGGUGCGCGCGUUGUCCGGAAUUACUGGGCGUAAAGAGCUCGUAGGUGGUUUGUCGCGUUGGUCGUGAAAUCUCACGGCUUAACUGUGAGCGUGCGGGCGAUACGGGCAGACUAGAGUACUGCAGGGGAGACUGGAAUUCCUGGUGUAGCGGUGGAAUGCGCAGAUAUCAGGAGGAACACCGGUGGCGAAGGCGGGUCUCUGGGCAGUAACUGACGCUGAGGAGCGAAAGCGUGGGGAGCGAACAGG